UACGUAGGGUGCAAGCGUUGUCCGGAAUUAUUGGGCGUAAAGAGCUCGUAGGCGGUCUGUCGCGUCUGCUGUGAAAACUCAGGGCUUAACCCUGAGCUUGCAGUGGGUACGGGCAGACUAGAGUGCGGUAGGGAGACUGGAAUUCCUGGUGUAGCGGUGAAAUGCGCAGAUAUCAGGAGGAACACCGGUGGCGAAGGCGGGUCUCUGGGCCGUAACUGACGCUGGAGGAAGCGAAAGCAUGGGAGCGAACAGG
rnacentral:rRNA from 1 species